rnacentral:rRNA from 1 species
GAUGAACGCUGACAGAAUGCUUAACACAUGCAAGUCGACUCGAGUCUUUGGACUUGGGUGGCGGACGGGUGAGUAACGCGUAAAGAACUUGCCUCAUAGUCUGGGACAACAUUUGGAAACGGAUGCUAAUACCGGAUAUUAUGCUUUCUUCGCAUGGAGGAAGUAUGAAAGCUAUAUGCGCUAUGGGAGAGCUUUGCGUCCCAUUAGCUAGUUGGUGAGGUAACGGCCCACCAAGGCGAUGAUGGGUAGCCGGCCUGAGAGGGUGAACGGCCACAAGGGGACUGAGACACGGCCCUUACUCCUACGGGAGGCAGCAGUGGGGAAUAUUGGACAAUGGACCAAAAGUCUGAUCCAGCAAUUCUGUGUGCACGAUGACGUUUUUCGGAAUGUAAAGUGCUUUCAGUCGGGAAGAAGCAAGUGACGGUACCGACAGAAGAAGCGACGGCUAAAUACGUGCCAGCAGCCGCGGUAAUACGUAUGUCGCAAGCGUUAUCCGGAUUUAUUGGGCGUAAAGCGCGUCUAGGCGGCAAGGAAAGUCUGAUGUGAAAAUGCGGGGCUCAACUCCGUAUUGCGUUGGAAACUGCCUUACUAGAGUACUGGAGAGGUAGGCGGAACUACAAGUGUAGAGGUGAAAUUCGUAGAUAUUUGUAGGAAUGCCGAUGGGGAAGCCAGCCUACUGGACAGAUACUGACGCUAAAGCGCGAAAGCGUGGGUAGCAAACAGG